rnacentral:siRNA from 1 species
AGCGGAUAACAAACCUCUACCAAA